AACCCUUGCCAUUAAGCCGGCUUCUCAAAUGAUCCUCCUUGAGGGGGUCUCCUUUUGAGAUAGUGUGCAACGCAGGGGGACAGCAUCUUCUGGUGUGUGUAUGAUUGUUUUAUCAGACAUUGGAAGACAAUCAAAGAAAAUCCAGAAACA